rnacentral:rRNA from 1 species
UACGAAGGGGGCUAGCGUUGUUCGGAAUUACUGGGCGUAAAGCGCGCGCAGGCGGUCUUCCAAGUCAGUGGUGAAAGCCCGGAGCUCAACUCCGGAACUGCCAUUGAAACUGUAAGACUUGAGGACGAGAGAGGUGAGUGGAAUUCCCAGUGUAGAGGUGAAAUUCGUAGAUAUUGGGAAGAACACCGGUGGCGAAGGCGGCUCACUGGCUCAUUACUGACGCUCAGGCGCGACAGCGUGGGGAUCAAGCAGG